rnacentral:precursor_RNA from 8 species
UGACAUUCGGAAACUUGGGUUUUUGCUCUUUGUGUUCACAGUGGACCUUGAUUUAAUUUCAAUACAAUUAAGGCACGCGGUGAAUGCCAAGAGAGAAGCCAACAGCAGCACUCACCUGA